AACUCAGGCUAUUUGAGUAUGAAAUUGUAAUGGAAUCUUUUAUGAACAUCAUUACAUACAACAUAACUUGAUGCGUAUAUAUAUUCAGUUAUAAGCACCCACAAGUAAGCAUUUGGAACUGAUAUAAAAUAUUUCAGGGGGGUUCAAACCCAAAAUCCAGCCCUCUAGCGACGCCUCAGCUCUCAGUCAACAUCAGUUUAUUAAAAGCACUGCUUUCUCUCUUUUAUACCUGUUUUUUCUUAACAAAAGGAGGCUUAGGCUACUUAUGCAUGUGAUUUGUGAGAUCAAAUCGUAGCCAGGUGUCUGAAAGAGAGCAUUACUGUCCGGCUCGCUGUGUGGGAACGACAGCCUUUCUCCCUCGACCUGUCAAUCAGUGUGACAUGAGGAAACUUGUUCAACUUCACCCUCUCUGAAUGGUAGCUGUGAGACUGGCUAUGACUGAACUGGAGAAGAAAAUUCCCGUUUUUCCAGUUCCCGUUAUUCAUGUUCCUGUUUUACAUGUUAUAGAACAGAGAUUGAUUAAUGGCACAUGUCAUUACGUCCCCACACCACGCCAUCCGACGUUCCCUCCAGAAUUUCGAAAUACAGUUCGUCUUCGUUAUGGUACCGUAUACAGUUUUUGGUGUUUUUUAUUUAAAAUUUUACAAAAGCUUCAGUGCAGUUAAUUAUUUGUCAUGCUAUACAUGCAAUUGGACGACUGCUUGAAGCCGUGGGCUGCGUCCAAAACCACGUACUUACCUGCUAUAUAGUAGCUGAGAUACAUGUAUUUCACCUACUAUAUGCAUGUAUUUCACCUACUAUUUAGUAGGUGAAAUACUUGUAUAUAGUAGGUGAAAUACUUGUAUAUAGCAGGUGAAAUACAUGUAUAUAGUAGGUGAAAUACAUGUAUAUAGUAGAAUACAUGUAUAUAGUAGGUGAAAUACAUGUAUAUAGUAGGUGAAAUACUUGUAUAUAGUAGGUGAAAUACAUGUAUAUGGUAGAAUACAUGUAUAUAGUAGGUGAAAUACAUGUAUAUAGU
ensembl:lncRNA